UCCCUGGUGGCUCAGAGGUUAAAGCGUCUGCUUGGAAUGCAGGAGACCCAGGUUCGAUCCCUGGGUCGGGAA
rnacentral:tRNA from 1 species